rnacentral:misc_RNA from 1 species
AACGCACAUUGCGCCCCCUAGCAUUCUAGAGGGCAUGCCUGUCCGAGCGUCAUUUUCACCCCUCAAGCGCUGUUUUCGCUUGGAGUUGGGGCUCUUGCGGCCGGCACCUGGUGCCGCGCAAGGCUCUGAAAUUCAGCGGCGGGCCCCGCCAGCACACCGAGCGCAGUAGAAUACUCCUUCUUGCUCCCCGCUCAGGGCGUGCGGCGCGGUCCCAGCCGUCCUGGUCCCUCCAGAGGGACCUGAACAUUUUGUUAGUUGACCUCGGAUCAGGUAGGACUACCCGCUGAACUUAA